UUCGCCUAGGGCACAAAAUAUCCUUGUGCUGGCCCUGGUCAAUAGGACAACUCACAUGCUUAAACUUAAGCACAUGCUUAAGUGAUUUGAUGAAUCAGGCUGCAGUGCUCAGGAUCAAGCCCUUACUUUGCAAUCUCUUGGGGGCAGGGACUGUAUCUUUCAUAAAUGUCCAUGGCCUGAUCUACAGUACAAAGUGAGGUUGUUGUAAGGUGCCUUGCACCAACCUAGUUGUGCAUAUGUCCACACUUAAAUUUGUCUCCCACCAGUAUAAAAUCUCCAUUAUGCCAACAUAGUAAGACCUUCUGCCCAAGCGUUGUCGAGUCACAGUCAGUGUACUGAGGUUGACACAGUGCAAAUGUAGACACUGCAUUGCCUAUGUUAACCCUAACAGUCCUCCAGCAGCUGUCCCACAAAGCCCCACACUGACUGUUCUGGUCUUGGUUGUGAACUCCAUUGCCUGAGACUCACAGAGACUGGAAGCCGCACCCUUUCUUUAAAACCCUGUGAAUUUCUGAUAUGCUGUUUCCAGAUUGUCCAUUGUGGCAAACACUCGUAGCAGCUCUCCAUUGUUGUGUGCAACUGCCCAGCUGACCAUGUUGGCUACAUGCUCCAGGUGUGUUCUAUCCUGGAGUAGACAGGAGUUUUUGGAACUCCUGGGCCUGUGGGGAAAAGAAGUUGACAGGCACAUCUAUGGACCAGCCAUAGAAAUAUGGCCAUCUAUGAACAGAUUGCCCAGGGGAUGCAGGAGAAGGGUUAUGACAGGGACCAGCAGCAGUGCUGUGUGAAGGCAAAGGAAUCCUGCAGGCAUAUCAGAAGGCCAGAGUGUCCAACAGUCAAUCUGAUGCUGAGCUGCAGCCCUGCUGCUUUUACAAAAAGCUGUGUGCCAGGCUUGGUGAAGACAUCCCCACCAACACCCCACACAGACCUCCGUGGAUACCUCUGAAGAGCCUGCAUCACUGGCCCUUGGUGUGAACAGCAAGGAUGAGGAGGAGGAGGUGAAGGAGGAAUAGGAGAAGGAUGGGGGACAUGUGACCGGGAGGUCUAGCUAAGACGCUAGUUUGGACCUGUUUGAGACUCCAGCACAGUCCAUCAAUCCCAGCAGUCAAGCACCACAAAACUGAUUGAGGGGAAGGAUCCUCAGUUGCUGCUGUUGUGGCCUUGAGGAGUUCCCCUUCCACACCCACAGAAUGCCUGAGCCAGAUAAGGAUGGAAAAGAAGCUCAGAAUGACAUGUUCAGUGAGAUCCUGCAAGGCAGUGCUGCAUCAGACUAUGAACAGAGGGCCUGAAGCAUGAAUACUGCAGGCUGUAUAGAGAAAGAAAGAGCAGCAACAGGAGAAAGGACCAAGAAUCCCAGCAGAAAAAGGAGGGGAAAGGACAUAAUGGAGCUCCUCUGGCAGCAAACGUACAGAUUCAACAAUCCUGGGCUCAUCUCCCUUUGCAGUCCAUGGAGAAUUCCAUUACAGCGCCUUCCUACACACACAUACAUCAACUGUGGUUCUCACAGAGAAGUGAGUAUGGAGAAGGUUGCAUGCUGGGAACCUGACUCCUUACUCCCAGUCACCCCUGUGUGACUCAUUUCUGCAACACCCUGCAUUGCCGUAACUUCCCAAAAGACAGAGUGCUGGAUGGUGGCAAGUUGCACACUGGAAUACCUAGCAAUGAUGCACUACACUGUACAUUGAAACGAGCACUCCUGCUUUCUCCUGUGGACAAGGCCUAUGCAUAUGCUGAGACAACAGGUAGAGAGGACAACAAAACAAAACAAAACGGAAGGGUGGACAGUGAAGAGAUUGUGAGUUUGGUCUAAUAAUGAUUACCACUGAGAGCACACCAAACACCUAGCUAUCUCACUUUAUUCAAUUUAUCCCACCUUUACUUUCUUUCUCUUUUUGAAGCUAGCGGGGCUAGUUAUAUACUUAAACUUUUAACACAGUACUCAGGUGCUUUGCUCAACUGGGGCCAGAUAGUGCCUAAUUUUGACUUUGGAUGUGUCUGUGUGACUCUUUAUAGAAGUUAAUGGGAACUGCAUUUACACAGUGGAUCAAUGGUAGAAUUUGGUCCAGAGUGCGCAAAACAGCUUUUCUGGAGGAAUUUUGUUUUAGAAUCAUAGAUUAUCAGAGUUGAAGGGACCUUAGUAGGUCCUGUAGUCUAAGUUGCUACUUAAAGCCAGUCUAGUCCCCAGGCAGAUUUUUGCCCCAGAUCCCUAAAUGACCCCAUCAAGGAUUGAACUCACAACCCUCAGUUUAGCAAGUCAAUGCUCAAAUGACUGAGCUAUCCCUCCCCCAUCAUUAUUUUGCCUCAUUAUGUUAUGGCAUUAUUCCACAGGAAUUAUUAUGUACCCAACCACAUAAUAUGCUGAAUCCUAUUUCCUGGAACAUUGUUUUUACCAGCAAACAGUAUGUAUGUCAGAGGAUGUCUGUUACACUUCAUUUCUAUAUUAAAAAUAAUUGAUUUUUGCUUGGCUUUAGUACAAAGUUCAUAAACCUUGAAUAGAACUAUAUCAAAAGGGAAAGCCCUCUCUGCAGAAUAUAUCUGUGUGUGUUUACAUGUACUUUGAGUUCCAUCCUUACCUGAGUCAUCACUAUUCCAGAAGGUUCUUGGAUCAGGUUUAGCCAGCAGGUCUCCUUUACUACAGGACUCCAUCUAUUAAACAGAAGGAACAAAACAAACGGCAUGUGCCAUAUCAAAGAAUGCAUCUUCGAUUUGCUACUGCUAAAUGAGUCUUUCUUCAGUAGCUAGGUCACCAGAAAGGCAUUUUCCUUUGGAUCCCCUACUAUACAUACUGAGCUGAAAUGCAUCACCUGACUCUGGGGUGGGAAGCAGUGGUCAGCCAGUGAACAUGCUGCACAAGCGAGGGAGGAGAGUAAAAAUUUCCAGUGGUUGCAGAACAAACCCUUAUGAUGGAAGAUGUCAUGGGAUCUUUAAUGUCCACAUUGAGCAGACAGUACCUUGUUUUUUAAGGCCUGAUCUUAAAGAGGCUCACACAGUAAAUUGCUCAAUUUAUCUACAUUGGAAGGAUGAAAGGCUUAAUGAGUUUGAAUCUGAGGUUCCAGUGAGUCUAGUAGCUCUUUCAAAUCUGGCAUUCUUCAACCAGUAAGCUAUUCUUCUCCAGUUUAAGAAAUGUUUUCCAUCAAAUGAUUCCCAGUACAAACUUUUCUUUGAAACGUUACCUGCCACUAUAUUUACACUAUAUUACAAGUACUACGGAAGGCUUUAAAGUUGAUUGGUGGAAGAUUUCCAAGGUUCUAUAACUAAAGCCCAAUACCACACUGAAA